rnacentral:lncRNA from 1 species
ACCUUUUCACGGAGCACGCAUUCGCGUUGACUUAUAAACCAAAUGUAAUGGCAUUUUGUUAUUCUAUUAGCUACUAGUAGCAAUUAACGUAAUGUACGGCGUUAAAACCGUGUUGUUCUCCAAUCCUUUGUUUUGAAAUAAGUGGGCGUGUGUUUCAGCUUCCCCUGAAAUACAACCAGGAAGUUGUCCCGCGCCAUUUCCAUAGCUUCUACGCCAUCUCGAAGACCGUGCUUCGAGUUACAAGAAGAUUACGUUAUCAACAUCGGUGUACUCUUCUUCAAUUUAUAAAAAACCCCACUGCAUCGUGGUUUUCGGACCGACUUCAGUUCCACCAUCUACGUACUAAAUAACGUCGUCGUUAGCUGUUGAUUGUUGUGAGGUGAACUAACGUCGUUGGCUAGCUGGUUAGAGUUAGCCUACUUACCACUUUCGCAAAAAUAAAAAUAGCUAGUAUCGUUGAUGUGUCCUACCCUCUCCACUUUGAAGUCAUGUUGGGCGAAUCACUAAUAAAUAUAGAACCAAAUCUGGACAACUUUGAAAACAAUAAGCCACCCGUUUUGACUUCCUACCACGUCGGGGCAAGCCUAGGCAAAACAAGGCAAGCACUGUUGAAGAAAGGUGGGAGAAAAUUGCGUUCAACAACGUCAGGGUUGCAGCGGACACACCAACAACCGCGCCAAAAAACGCAGAGAAACAACCCCACGCGCCUUGCAGACAUCAACAACAAUGUCGCAGCUUCGAAAUCCCCAACUGCCGAACUCGCAACCCACCGGACCCAGGCGACUGUGCUGACCUGUCACCAUCUAAAGCAGAGGACAAAGAAAGAGUGUCGUAGUGAGGUACCAUGGCAAGGCCUCUCAUGCUGCAGCCUACCCCUGGAAGGAGUCAACACGUUGGACGCUGCUAAGCUCGCCUACAGUAACCUCUUUGUGCAGAGACAGCAACUAAAGACAGACUGGAGAAUCCACGGUGAAGGACAGCCCACUGAGCCCAGUUAACAUUAACACGUACAGUACCAGG